AUAUGCCUGGAAUGUUUGACACUCCUCAUAUUGAGCCACCAUGACACAAAAGGGAGUCCGGGUUAGUGUGGAAUACGGUCGUACCGCCUCCGAGCGGAGGGUCUAAGACCACCGCAGGGCACCCACCUAGCAAAAUGCUGGGCGUCAAUCGAGGGAUCGGCAUUCCGGGUCUUGU
rnacentral:other from 1 species